UUUCCGUAGGUGAACCUGCGGAAGGAUCAUUAAAAAUUGGACUCCAUUGGUGAGUUCAUUAAUAAUCCCUACCCUUUGUGAAUUUGUUUGUUUGAAUAAUUUUUUUUCCAAAAAAAAUUAUUGAAUGUCUUUCCUUGUUUUGGUGGAGCUUGUAAAGUGAAACCAGGCAGGGGAAUGGCAAACAAUAAUUAUUUUUGAAAAAGACCUUUUUUUAAAAUUAAACUUUUUGUAUUCAUUUGUCUAAAAUUAAUUUUUAUAAUAUAAAAACAACUUUUGACAAUGGAUCUCUUGGUUCUCGCAACGAUGAAGAACGCAGCAAAAUGCGAUAAGUAGUGUGAAUUGCAGAAUACGUGAAUCAUCGAAUCUUCGAACGCAUAUUGCACUUUUUUAGUUUACUAAAAAAGUAUGUCUGUUUGAGUAUCAGUAAAAUAUUCUCAUAAAAAACAUUGUUUUUUUUAUGGUUAUGAGUGUUUUACAACGAUAACAAGUUGUUUCACUUUAAAUUCUUUGUUAUCAAAAAAAUCAUUAAAAGCUAAUUUUAAAGAUUUUUUAAAAUUGGAUAAAAUUUUCCCGUAAAAAGGAAUAACCUAAACAAUUUUAAAAAAUUAAAAUUGGUUUGAUUUUUUUUGAAACCCAAAGGAAAAAAAAACGAAAUUAACUUGAUCUCAAAUCAGAUAAGAGUACCCGCUGAACUUAAGCAUAUCAAUAAGCGGAGGAAAAGAAACUAACUAGGAUUCCCUCAGUAACGGCGAGUGAAGCGGGAAGAGCUCAAAUUUGAAAUCUUCAAGGUUUUACCUUGACGAAUUGUAGUUUAAAGAAGUGUUUUCUGUUGGAGUUUUGGUAAAAGUUCUUUGGAAAAGGACAUCAUAGAGGGUGAGAAUCCCGUAUUUGACCAUUAUCUCCAGCUUUGUGAUACACUUUCAAAGAGUCGGAUUGUUUGGGAAUGCAGUCCAAAAUGGGUGGUAAAUUUCAUCUAAAGCUAAAUACUGGCGAGAGACCGAUAGCGAACAAGUACCGUGAGGGAAAGAUGAAAAGAACUUUGAAAAGAGAGUUAAACAGUACGUGAAAUUGUCAAAAGGGAAGCGUUUGACACCAGUGUUGUUUUCUCGAAAAUCAAUUAAAAAAGGCCGGAUUUUGUGUUGUAUUGACUUUAUCAGCUUUCUGCACUCUUUUCUUGCCUUUUUUAAUGCACUUUUCGUUUAACAAGUCAACAUCAAUUUCUUUUGUUGUAAAAGGGUCAUUGGAAGGUGGCUUUCUUUUCGGAGAAAGUGUUUAUAGCCUUUGGCCUCUGCAAUCGGAGAGAUUGAGGUCUGCAGCGUAGAUCCUUCGGGGUUAGAUACAUUUAUGCUAAGUUAUAGCCUUUCAUAGACAACUUGUUGACUAUGAUCAGUCAUGUAGCUUACUCGCUUAUGCUAUUUUACCUACGCUUAGGAUG
rnacentral:misc_RNA from 1 species